ensembl:lncRNA
GUAAUCCUAGUCCUCUCUGCUCUUAUUGAUUGGUUGGACCAAUCAACUGACCCCAUUCUGGCCAAUGAGAUAAAAGGGCUGCUCUGGAACGGGUUUUCUCUUUUGUCAUCCUGCUGCUGCUGCUGCUGCUGCUGCUGCUGCUAAGUCGCUUCAGUUGUGUCCGUCUCUCACCAGGCUCCCUCGUCCCUGGCAUUCUCCAGGCAAGAACACUGGAGUGGGUUGCCAUUUCCUUCUCCAAUGCGUGAAAGUGAAAAGUGAAAGUGAAGUCGCUCAGUUGUGUCCGACUCUUCGCGACCCCAUGGACGGCAGCCUACCAGGCUUCUCCGUCCAUGGGAUUUUCCAGGCAAGAGUACUGGAGUGGGUCGCCAGUGCCUUCUCCCGCUUUUGUCAUAAAGGAGAGGAAAAGGGGUUGAUGGUUUCGCCUUUUCUUCUCACCUUUAAGUGUGUUUUUUGAGGUGAUAGUGGUUAGAGCUCGAGGGACAAUAUUUCUAAUUCACUGAGGAUGAAAUGGAGUGCACGGACGAAGGACACCUUGGAGCAACAGAACCAAUUGCUCUGCUGACUCUUCUGGGCUCCUCGUUCUGUGAGACCUCACCUCCUCUGAAGACACAGAACUUCCUGCCAGCUCCCGAAACAGCCUUGGAAGUGGUGGGCAUCAUGACUCACGGUCAGUGAAAGGCAAAGGAGAAAAGGAAAGAUAAAAGCAUCUGAAUGCAGAGUUCGAAAGAAUAGCAAGGAGAGAUAAGAAAGCCUUCCUC